AAAAGAAACCAACAGGGAUUGCCUUAGUAACGGCGAGUGAAGCGGCAAAAGCUCAAAUUUGAAAUCUGGCACCUCCGGUGUUCGAGUUGUAAUUUGGAGAGGCAUCUUCUGGAGGGGCCCAGCCUAUGUUAUGUGCCUUGGAACAGGACAUCAUAGAGGGUGAGAAUCCCGUACUUGGCUGGAUGUUCCCUCCUGUAUGUAGUGUCUUCUACGAGUCGAGUUGUUUGGGAAUGCAGCUCAAAAUGGGUGGUAAAUUUCAUCUAAAGCUAAAUAUUGGCGAGAGACCGAUAGCGCACAAGUAGAGUGAUCGAAAGAUGAAAAGCACUUUGAAAAUAGAGUCAAACAGUACGUGAAAUUGUUGAAAGGGAAGCGCUUAGGACCAGACUCAGCCUUUGGUGGACAUCCGCCCAUCGGGGUGGUGCACUUGUCAUUGGUUGGGCCAGCAUGGGUUGGGACGGUGGGAUAAAGGCUCGGGAAAUGUGACUCCUUUAUGGAGUGUUAUAGUCCCGGGUGGCAUGCCACCAGUCCCGACUGUGGAACGCGCAUCGGCACGGAUGCUGGGCAUAAUGGUUUUCAGCGACC
rnacentral:rRNA from 1 species